AAGUGUUGCCACUGCUCGCAUUCAAAUCGCAGAGUUUAUUUAUUAAUAAAAAAGUAAGUUUUAUAAAAUAUGAAAUAAAAAUAUGUUGCCAAAUUUUAAUCGUAUUAUUAUUACAAGGUCAUAUUCGAACUUUGAAGAAAGCACGUUAUAGCAUGUGAUGUCAUUGUAUGUCGAAAAUUUUUCAUUGUCAGCAUUUUAAAUAAAUGGUUGCUAUCGGCAACGUUUUUGUUUCAGGUUAGUAUAAAGGACGUGAUAUGCUAAUGCCACGUUGAUUCUUUUAUUGUUAUUGAGUAAAUUCUGUUAUAUUACAUUAAAAUUAAAUCAUGACGUCAUACGUUUUAACCUGAGGUGUCAAAGUUUUUGUUUCUUGGGUUGGCAAUGAAAGAUUAUUUAGGACCUGGUUGUUGCUUGGAAAGAAUGAACUCAUUUCAUUCAUAUUGGAAAUGUUUUUAUAUAUUUACUUUCCAGAGCUGCAGAGAACUUUUAAAUUUUGCUUUGUCAGCAGCCCGCUAGUUCUGUCUUAAAAUUUGAUCGAUGAAUUGAGAACAUUUGGAGAUGCAAAGUUUUCAUUAUGACCUCAAGCUCAAAUAUUGCUAGUAUAAAUUCAUUUCUGUAAGAUAAUUAAAAAUACGGAAUAAUUGAUUUUAUGAAUUUUGUUGAUCUUAGUUUCAGUCAACUUGUAACAUAACUUUCCAUCUCGAAAUCUAUACCUAAUUUAUAUCUUAAUCGCAAGCAAAUAAUUAAAUGUAUUUUGGAAAAAUAACUGAGUAAAUUCGGAAUGCAUUCAUUUAACAGGGUAACUGGAUGAAUGGUACAAGUUGUGACAGCCGAGAACGAAGCAACGUGUGUUUUAGAAUAUUCGGAAGGUCCUUCGGUAUUCUUUAUUUCGGCACUUGCGUACUGGCACGUUGACUUCCAAGGGGCUUCGUAAAUUUAGGUCGUUUGAAAACUUUCUACUAUUACAUUGCUGAUUGAAGAACUUUUAUCUUUGCACGAAACACUUGAUUUCUGAAACGGUUCCACGUAACCUGUGCCGGGAAAAUGAAGCAUAAGAAUUGGAUUCAAGAUUCAUUACGAUGUAUACCUUCCCAAUGUUAGUACGUCUCUUAACCAUGUCCGACGAAACUGCUAUUUCUGGGAAUUCUAUUCGCUUUUUUCUUUUUAUUGAGAGUGUGCUUUUCUUAUGGAUUAAGUGUGCUCGAUGCAUCGUGCUGUGAUAUGAAUAGUGAAUUGUGUAGACUCUUUUAAGGAUAUUGGACUCUUCAUGUCAAGUUCUUCGGGUCAUGUGUUCUCCGGGGUAAGUGAGAUAUCUUGUUUGCAAAUAGAGUUAGUUUACCAAUUAUAAAUCCUUUUGUAAAUUAAUAAUAUAAAAAUUGAAAUUUCUGGCAUUGAUAAUGUUAAUAAUUGCGACUUUCAAAACCCAAUAAAACGGACGAGUGAAUUAACCUUACUAA